rnacentral:rRNA from 1 species
AGCAGCCGCGGUAAUUCCAGCUCCAAUAGCGUAUAUUAAAGUUGUUGCAGUUAAAAAGCUCGUAGUUGAAUUUCGGGAUCAAUAUAUCGGUCGUGCCUUGGUACGUACUGGUAUCAUUGGUUUCUCCUUUCUGACGAACCAUGAUGUCAUUAAUUUGGUGUUAUGGGAAGUUAGGACUGUUACUUUGAAAAAAUUAGAGCGUUUAAAGCAGGCUUUAGCUUGAAUACAUUAGCAUGGAAUAAUGAAAUAGGACGUUCGAACCUAUUUGUUGGUUUCUAGGAUCAACGUAAUGAUUAAUAGGGAUAGUUGGGGGCAUUAGUAUUCAAUUGUCAGAGGUGAAAUUCUUGGAUUUAUUGAAGACUAACUACUGCGAAAGCAUUUGCCAAGGAUGUUUUCAUUAAUCAAGAACGAAAGUUAGGGGAUCGAAGACGAUCAGAUACCGUCGUAGUCUUAACCAUAAACUAUGCCGACUAGGGAUCGGAUGAUGUUAAUUUUUAAUGACUCAUUCGGCGCCUUACGG